rnacentral:tRNA from 2 species
GGGCCGUUAGCUCAAUAGGUAGAGCAGCUGACUCUUAAUCAGGAGGUUUGGGGUUCGAUUCCCUAACGGCCCACCA